rnacentral:rRNA from 1 species
UACGGAGGAUGCAGGCGUUAUCCGGAAUUAUUGGGCGUAAAGCGUCCGUAGGUGGUUUUUCAAGUCUGCUGUCAAAGCGUGGAGCUUAACUCCAUACCGGCAGUGGAAACUGGGAGACUAGAGUGCGAUAGGGGUAACGGGAAUUCCCAGUGUAGCGGUGAAAUGCGUAGAGAUCAGGAAGAACACCGGUGGCGAAAGCGCUCUGCUGGACCUUAACUGACACUGAGGGACGAAAGCUAGGGGAGCGAAUGGG